ACAACUUGGUGGGUGCAGGGAGAGCCACACAGGCACAUCCUAUGACAUGUCAUCCACGCUGCCACUCGACAGGAAGGAAGAUGCACAAGGAUUCUGGCACAAGGCCUCAUAUGUGCUUGAUUCUUCUCUUGACCAAUUUGGCCCAAUCAGAUAAAUGAAUUUUUCUCCUGUGAAUGAAGAUAGAGUCUCCCCUUCCCCUGCUCUAGGGAAGUGAGCAAGGAAGCAAGCAUGCAGCCCCGAUCUUUUCUGGGAGUCAUGAUACGGCCUUGAAGGAGAGCAAGGUUGAGAAUGAAACCACUGCCAAGGACAUCACAGCAGAAAGACAGACAGAAAGAACCUGGGUCCUUGUGGACAGAGUCAUGUCCUAGAUCUAGUCAUGUCCAACAGACAUAGUCCUUAAGGACACUCUGGUUCCUGCUGUGAGAGGGGCUCUGCCUCCCUGUUUGUCAGUUUCUCACUUAGAGGAAGAGCAACCUAACUGAUCAUUUAUCCAUCUCGGCUGAACUAGCCACUGCAUCAAGAGCCCUCCUUCCAAAGAGGCUGGAAAUUUUAAACUCCAACUCAAGGCCUUCAUCGAAGCUGCCUGGGUCCACUGCCACCCCAUUUCCUUCCCCGUCCUCUCCUUCCUAAGUUCACCAGCCAAACCUCUUUCCUUCUCUGCUCCUCAGCCCAUACCCAUCCCUGCCAGGGCUCUGUGGCCUUACUUGUACAAUUUACCCACCGUGGCCUCAGGUACAAGGGUUUAUGACGUCCAUAACAAGUACUUGCUAAUCUCUCAGAAGCCACCGGGUAUAUGGAAUCCUGCAGUUUAUCUGGAUGAUGAAACUAUUUCAUUUUUUAUUCUUCUUAGUUGGCAUCAGUGCCUGAGAAUAGAAUUUGGAUGCGUGCUUUGCCUAAAAGGAAAGAGCUGACAGAGCUUGCAACUGGCAAUGUAUCAGUUCCACCUCAAGGAAAUCAACAGGGAGAAGCUAAUGAAACGGAACAGUUCUCAUAUUAACCAGUUAGCUAUUCAGCUUAGGACAGAUGUGGAAAAUAAGCCCAUAUGAGACAAAUUCAUUAAAGUGAAAUUAUCCAUUCAACACCUUGAUAUCUGAGCAGACUGAUGUUUCAAAAUUAUUAUAAUUAUGAUCAUGGGGAUAAAGAGAGCCAAACUUUCGAAAGAAGACUUGAAAAAAAUUAAAAAUUCUAGCACUACCCUGUGAGAUGGAAAUAAUGAGCUGGUCACAGAUCCCCAGGAUAUCAGCAAUUGCUCUAAAUCCUUCUUGAUGAGGAAUCUGUGACUCUGAACUCAACAUUAAUUCAAAUGCAAAUAAUAUCUCUUCCCCCUGAGAAUCAUUAUUCCUGAUUCAGCAGGCAGUUUAAUGGGAAAUCUGCAGGUGCACUGCAGACUUUGAGCCAGAGAAGUUGUUCCCGCUCCAGAUGAAGCUUUGACUCCUGAACACAUGGAAUCUGACAAUCAGACUCCAGAGAUUCGAAUUCUCUCAGUGCCUCUGAGAUAGUAGACCCUCGGUAAAGCAUAUGGAACUCAGUAGGGCAUAGAUCUCGUACCUGCAGCCUGGAAAAUGUCACAAACCUCUGUCUGCUUCUCUGAAACACACACCCCGUUUUAGUAGCUGUUAAGCACCUCAACCCUUUGCACAGAAGUUCUUAAAUACCACCUGCAGAAGACAGUCAGCCUCCAGCCUUGUCAUCUUGAGGUAACCCACAGAGAAGAAAAGGCUGGAAGCCUCUAGAAUUAUCUUGCUCAGGUUGGACUGUCUGAUACCGGGAAAAUUACAUGGCCAUUCUGUACCUCAGUUUCUCCAUCAUCAAAAUAAGAAAACUAAUAACAUCUGCUUUGUAGGAUUGUGGUAUGGUUUAAGAGCUAUAACAAACUUUUCAUAGGCAAGAUAACAGAAGGGUUAACAGUAUGGAUUCUGAAACCAGGCUUUCUUGGUCCAAAUCUGGGCUUACUUAUUAAUAACCUUGGAAAAACAAACUUUUUUUUUUUAACAUUAGUUACCCCAGUAUAAAAUGGGGGUGAUAAUAUUAACAACCUGAGUUGUUAUAAAAAUUAACAUUUUCAAAUAAUUUAGACCAGUGACUGACUUAUAUACCAAACACUGUGUAAUCACUUACGGCAUAAGCAGUGCUCAGGCCAUAAUGAGAGCUCAGUAAAUGUUCUAUGUUAACAUAAGCAUUGUCAGUAUUUCCAUGAGUAGUCGUAACACCAUAGAAGAAACAGAGAAUCGUAUUUCCAAAGAUAGAAUAGAAAGAGGCAUGGCACUUUCAGUUAGAAAGUACCUCUCAGCAAUUUUUUUUUUUUACCAGGUUUUACAUGUAUAAUAAUGUAAUCUUUUCAGGAUUGUAUAACAAAAUGCUAUAGACUGGCUGGCUUAAACAACAGAAAUUCAUUGGUUCACAGGUCUGGAGACUGGUGGUCCAAGAUCAGGGUGUCAGCAUGGUUAGAUUCUGGUGUAGACUCUCUUCCUGACUUGAAAACUAUGCCUUCUCAUUGUGUCUUCACAUGGCAGAAAGACAGAGAGAGAGCUCAGCCUCUUCCAGUAAAACCAUAGUCUUAUUGGAUUAGAGGCCCAUUCUUAGGACCUCAUUUAAGCUUUUGUAUCUCCUAAAGGGCCCAUCUCCAGAUAUAGUUACAUUGCGGCUUAAGGCUUCAACAUAUUUUGAGGGGGGUAUAAUUCAGUCUAUAGCAAUAUCACAAUAGAAAGGCCGUGUGAUGCUUUGGCAUACCCUGGUGACUCAGGGAUGGCUAACUAGAAUACAACAGGUACCCAAAUGCCAUUCUUACUGAGAAGUCUGGAAACGUAUUUCUGAGAUAAGCAGAAGAGACAUGGUUUAGCAAGGUGGGAAGCUACCAUAUGGCUGUGUGUGACAAGCACGGGUCUAACUAGCCAUGGACACAUGAAGUCCUUCAGCGCUUAACAAUGCCGAGUCCUAUCAUUGAUUGUGUUCCAGAAUCCUACACCCACGCACGUGCGGCAGAUAAGCUGUCCAUACCCAAGAAGUAUAAACACCACAACAGUCCUUGCUUGUCAGUCUGGCAGGGUCACAAAGACCUGCCUGGGAUCAGUGUUUCUUAAAGCAACUGCUAGAAAAGUGACACCUAAUUAUUCCAAGAACAGAGCUGUAAGAGACAUGCUGAUUCAACAAAUGGAGAUGAGUAAACUGAAUUGUAGAGAGCUUAGGUGACUUGCAAGAGACUUCACUGCUGAGCAGGGGGGCCAUCUGUGGCCACCCUCCUGUCACAGGGAAGCCUGCACAUAGAGACCUCCCACAGAGACGAAAUAUGUCUACAAGAAGGGUCACUGCCCUUGCAAAGAAAAUGUGAUCCCAGCAUGGCUGUAGUUGCUGGCAGCAGAAAGGACUUCAUCCAGGACAGCAGAAGUUGUGGCUGAGAGGAGGAGAGGGCCGGAAGCCCUAUAGAUGCCCCAGGCCUACUGAGGCACAGGACGAGAAGGGAGGAGGCUGCUGUGCUUUCUGUAUACCUUGUUCUCUGCCCAGAAGGGUCAGCACAGCCAGGCAGCCCCCAAAUGCAGUGGAGGGUAAAGAAAGGAGGACCCCCUUUCUAGAGAAGACUCAGAAGGCUCCUGAGAAAAGGGAAAGGGCAACCCUUUCCCUUUCACUUCCAGUGGGAGGGAGGGAGGAAGGGUAUAGAAUCAAAAUGUACAGCACUUGCAAUAGUUUGCUCAUUUCUGAAAAAAAAUCGGGGUAGAUUGGGUGCCCAAUGCACCAUAGCAUUAUGUGUGUUUGUAAACGCACGCGGGGCUGUGCACGGGAGUAGGGGGCCUAGAGAGAAAAGUAAAAGGGAAAAGAAGGAAAGUAGCAGAGACAGGUUUGCUCAUAAAGUACAUAAAUAAGAAGACCUUGGUUUCCCACAAACGGCCCCAUCUUGGUAGCAGAAUGGGACAAAGUGUCACACACCCACAGCGAGUUGUAAAUAGAAGGGAAAGGAAGGACAACAUUCAUAUGCAUUGGGUGUAUAAUAAGAAUACAUGUGUGACCUACAUAUGUCAGUUUAAUUAGGACAAGUGUCCAUCCCUAGCAAAGAUUGAUUACUCAUUGUGACCUUGUUUUCGAAAGGAUAAUGAGAGCAGAUGAGACUUUUGCUUUAACAAACUUACUUGGCCAAAAUUUUAAAAGCUGGCAAUUCUAUCUGCUAUCAAUCCUGAUUGAUUUGUUUUGUUUUGUUUUUCUCAACUUUACUUGUCUCUGAAAUUGUCUGAAAUUGAAAUGUCUAGGAGCUGUAACCUAUGACAUGGAAGUGCUAUAUAAUUUCUUUUCAAAUGUCAAGCAUCUUUAACUAACGUGGAUUUUUGUUAAGUACUUGUUUGACAUCCAAUGUCAGAUGGGUUACCAGGAAAGCUGACGUGUAGAAGGAUGUCCUGUGUAUUGGGCAAUGUCCCAGGCUCUGUCUUUUAAUUCGGGUCAUAAAACUUACACAUCUUUGUAUGGUAGGUAUGACUUCACCCAAUAUUCUUUCAAAAGAGAAACAGAAGCUUUAUACCUUGCACAAAACCACACGGUGGUGAAGUCAGAAUACAAGCUGAGGGCCGGUCUGACUCAGAAGCCCACAGUGCUUCCUAUGCUAUCUCCUCAGUUACCGACGAGAAGUUCACAGCACUGGAACAGAAAAAGACCUUGAUGUUGACUCCACCAGCCUCUAAUUUUGCAGAGACUAGACUAUAGCAGAGGUUAGGUUACUUGUCUACGGCUUACUCAGUAAAUUUGGUGAUGGAGCUAAAUUCAUCACCAGAUUUGGCUGCCAGUCAGUCGCUAAACUGCUUGCCUGGUGUUCUCUCCACCCUCACCCCCACCCCUACCCCAGCUGUGCCCCAGGCACCAUCCACAGAUGAAAAGGGACAGCCAUCCUCAGGACCUUCCAGACCUGAGCAAGCUGGGAACAGCUGAUGCCUCCCCAACUUCCUGACACAACUCCAGGGCUGUGGAGGAGGCCCCAUCCCACAGAGCUACUGCAAGAAGAAGAUGCUGGGAGCUGAGCUGCUCCCUGGCAAUCACCUCCAGGCCAGCUCAAGCCAUGCUAAGGGAUGGGGGUCAUGGGGACAAAAGAGCAUUGUGUGUGAGAGAGGGAGCAGGGAGGGAGCGUGGGGAGGAAUGCACUGGCAAUUUCUUCCUCUCCCAAAGCCUGCCUCGCCCAGCUGUCUCAUGGCAAAGGAAGGACCCUCCCUGGAGGGGCUGGAGGCCCACCAUGGAUGCCUGGAGACUGGAGCUGAUUGACUGAAUUACUAGAUUUCCUCCAAAGGAUAGAGGGCUUCAUUUGGCCGGCAUUGUGUCACUUGCUACAAUGGCCCCUGGGUAUAUAGACGCUGCCUUAUGCCAUUCCCUUUAAUUCCCUUCAAAUAGGGACAUUUAAAAAGAGUCCAAUAACAUUUUUCUGAAAGGAACCUCCAUCUCCUUUUUUUUUUAAAGAAGAACAGAAUCAUUUGUCUCCAAAAGGGGGCCCUCCAAAAGAAGCUGGAGGAGCAGAAACCAUUUUAAUAGCAUCUUCUCUUUGCUGAAUUGUGUCUUCAUUUUACACUGUGGCUUUAUUCUCUGCCCCUUUGACACCGCCAGCUGCCUUUCACGUUCCAGCUCAGAAACAGGCUGGCUUCAGGCUGUAACAGGCACCAGCUUCCAAAGCCCUUUCUCCUGAUGACUCACGUUAGCUUGUGUGAGCCUGUGAGCCUGUGAGCCCCACACCACAGCUCCAGACCUUUGUUCCUUCGCAAAGUGCAUUUAAGCUCCAAGUACUAAAACAGUGUCUACCUAAGUCUCCUGCCUUACAAUGGAGUGAAAUAAUGAAUGACACAGUGGAAUGUCUGGUUCCUAUCUUGCUCAAGUUCAUCCUGUUACCAACUCAGCAGCUGGAGGAAGUGACAUCACACGCCCAAGCUCGGCUUUGAAGCUGGAGGUGCAUACCAAGACACUGUAUGUGGUACUGCACUCUGGCCAGGAAGUAUCACCCUUGGACCUCAUCUGUUAAACUAUUUAAAAAAAAAAAAAAAAAGAGGCUGGGACAUCAGUUUCUUAACUAGAAUUUCAAAUCCUAUUGUUCUAAUGGUGAAAAAAGGCUUUUGUGAAUUUUGCUCUUAGCCUGGAAGGUUAUCAAAGGAGUAGAGAUGAGUUCCUACAAACGUCUUGAAAAUUAAAUUAUUUUUUACAAAACAUAAAUAUAUGUGGGGCUAGGAGGGGGUCAUGCUCCACUGAGCAGGCUCCCAUGUAACCACUGAAGCAGAUCCACUGAAUGCUAGUCACCAGGGCUUCUUUGCCCAAGUAUUCCAAGUCCCGGUCUGUCUGGGGCCGCUUUUCUACUCCUAAGUAAAA